rnacentral:rRNA from 1 species
UCUAUACUGGUGAAACUGCGAAUGGCUCAUUAAAUCAGUUAUCGUUUAUUUGAUAGUACCUUACUACUUGGAUAACCGUGGUAAUUCUAGAGCUAAUACAUGCUAAAAACCCCGACUUCGGAAGGGGUGUAUUUAUUAGAUAAAAAACCAAUGCCCUUCGGGGCUCCUUGGUGAAUCAUGAUAACUUAACGAAUCGCAUGGCCUUGCGCCGGCGAUGGUUCAUUCAAAUUUCUGCCCUAUCAACUUUCGAUUGUAGGAUAGUGGCCUACAAUGGUUUCAACGGGUAACGGGGAAUUAGGGUUCUAUUCCGGAGAGGGAGCCUGAGAAACGGCUACCACAUCCAAGGAAGGCAGCAGGCGCGCAAAUUACCCAAUCCCGAUACGGGGAGGUAGUGACAAUAAAUACUGAUACAGGGCUCUUUUGGGUCUUGUAAUUGGAAUGAGUACAAUUUAAAUACCUUAACGAGGAACAAUUGGAGGGCAAGUCUGGUGCCAGCAGCCGCGGUAAUUCCAGCUCCAAUAGCGUAUAUUAAAGUUGUUGCAGUUAAAAAGCUCGUAGUUGAACCUUGGGCCUGGCUGGCCGGUCUGCCUCACCGCAUGUACUGGUUCGGCCGGGUCUUUCCUCCUGGGGAUCCGCAUGCCCUUCACUGGGUGUGUUGGGGAACCAGGACUUUUACUUUGAAAAAAUUAGAGUGUUCAAAGCAGGCCUUUGCUCGAAUACAUUAGCAUGGAAUAAUAGAAUAGGACGUGCGGUCCUAUUUUGUUGGUUUCUAGGACCGCCGUAAUGAUUAAUAGGGAUAGUCGGGGGCAUCAGUAUUCAGUUGUCAGAGGUGAAAUUCUUGGAUUUACUGAAGACUAACUACUGCGAAAGCAUUUGCCAAGGAUGUUUUCAUUAAUCAGUGAACGAAAGUUAGGGGAUCGAAGACGAUCAGAUACCGUCGUAGUCUUAACCGUAAACUAUGCCGACUAGGGAUCGGGCGAUGUUAUUCUUUUGACUCGCUCGGCACCUUACAAGAAAUCAAAGUCUUUGGGUUCUGGGGGGAAUAUGGUCCCAAGGUGAACUUAAGAAAUAGUAGGGAGAGAAAGAAAAAAAAAAACUGCGAUGCUGAAUAAGGGGAGUGAGUGGAUUGU